CAGGCCUAACACAUGCAAGUCGAACGGUAACAGGGUGCUUGCACCGCUGACGAGUGGCGAACGGGUGAGUAAUGCGUCGGAACGUGCCGAGUAGUGGGGGAUAACGCAGCGAAAGUUGUGCUAAUACCGCAUACGUACUGAGGUAGAAAGUGGGGGACCUUCGGGCCUCACGCUAUUCGAGCGGCCGAUGGCAGAUUAGGUAGUUGGUGGGGUAAAGGCCUACCAAGCCGACGAUCUGUAGCUGGUCUGAGAGGACGACCAGCCACACUGGGACUGAGACACGGCCCAGACUCCUACGGGAGGCAGCAGUGGGGAAUUUUGGACAAUGGGCGCAAGCCUGAUCCAGCAAUGCCGCGUGCAGGAUGAAGGCCUUCGGGUUGUAAACUGCUUUUGUACGGAGCGAAAAGGUUUUCUCUAAUACAGAAGGCCCAUGACGGUACC
rnacentral:rRNA from 1 species